UACGGAGGGUGCGAGCGUUGUCCGGAAUCAUUGGGCGUAAAGGGCGCGUAGGUGGCCCGGUCAGUUCGUGGUGAAAGCGCGGGGCUCAACCCUGCGUCGGCCAUGAAUACUGCCGCGGCUGGAGCACUGUAGAGGCAGGCGGAAUUCCGGGUGUAGCGGUGGAAUGCGUAGAGAUCCGGAAGAACACCGGUGGCGAAGGCGGCCUG
rnacentral:rRNA from 1 species